UACGAAGGGGGCUAGCGUUGCUCGGAAUCACUGGGCGUAAAGCGCACGUAGGCGGCUUUCUAAGUCAGGGGUGAAAUCCUGGAGCUCAACUCCAGAACUGCCUUUGAUACUGGGAAGCUUGAGUCCGGAAGAGGUGAGUGGAACUCCGAGUGUAGAGGUGAAAUUCGUAGAUAUUCGGAAGAACACCAGUGGCGAAGGCGGCUCACUGGUCCGAUACUGACGCUGAGGAGCGAAAGCGUGGGGAGCAAACAGG
rnacentral:rRNA from 1 species